GUGGGAUUGCGCCAUGGCCUGGGCCCUUCUCCUCCUCUCAGUGCUCACCCACAGCACAGGUUCCCUGGUCCAGGCAGCAGUGACUCAGCAGCCAUCCUCGCUGUCAGCCAACGUGGGAGACACGGUCAGGAUCACCUGCACUGGUAGCAGCAGCAACUAUGGCUGGUUCCAGCAGUGUCCCUGUCACUGUGAUCUACCUCAAUAACAACAGACCCUCGGGCAUCCCUUCGCGAUUCUCCGGAUCCCAGUCCGGCUCCUCGGCCACGUUAACCAUCACUGGGGUCCAAGCCGAGGACGAGGCUGUCUAUUUCUGUGGUGGCUGGGACAGCAGCAGUGGCAGCAGCUAUGGUGUGUUGUAACCUUGAGUUCCCUGGUCCAGGCAGCAUUGCUGAGUCAGC